rnacentral:rRNA from 1 species
UUAAUGAGAGUUUGAUCCUGGCUCAGGACGAACGCUGGCGGCGUGCCUAAUACAUGCAAGUAGAACGCUGAGGUUUGGUGUUUACACUAGACUGAUGAGUUGCGAACGGGUGAGUAACGCGUAGGUAACCUGCCUCAUAGCGGGGGAUAACUAUUGGAAACGAUAGCUAAUACCGCAUAAGAGUAAUUAACACAUGUUGGUUAUUUAAAAGGAGCAAUUGCUUCACUGUGAGAUGGACCUGCGUUGUAUUAGCUAGUUGGUGAGGUAAAGGCUCACCAAGGCGACGAUACAUAGCCGACCUGAGAGGGUGAUCGGCCACACUGGGACUGAGACACGGCCCAGACUCCUACGGGAGGCAGCAGUAGGGAAUCUUCGGCAAUGGACGGAAGUCUGACCGAGCAACGCCGCGUGAGUGAAGAAGGUUUUCGGAUCGUAAAGCUCUGUUGUUAGAGAAGAACGUUGGUAGGAGUGGAAAAUCUACCAAGUGACGGUAACUAACCAGAAAGGGACGGCUAACUACGUGCCAGCAGCCGCGGUAAUACGUAGGUCCCGAGCGUUGUCCGGAUUUAUUGGGCGUAAAGCGAGCGCAGGCGGUUCUUUAAGUCUGAAGUUAAAGGCAGUGGCUUAACCAUUGUACGCUUUGGAAACUGGAGGACUUGAGUGCAGAAGGGGAGAGUGGAAUUCCAUGUGUAGCGGUG